CCUACGGGAGGCUGCAGUGGGGAAUAUUGCACAAUGGGCGAAAGCCUGAUCCAGCCACGCCGCGUGAGCGAUGAAGGCCCUCGGGUUGUUAAGCCUUGUCUUCAAGGAAGCUAAUGACGGCACUUGAGGAGGAAGCCGCGGCUAAAUACGUGCCAGCAGCCGCGGGUAUACGUCGGGGGCUAGCGUUAUCCGGAAUUACUGGGCGUAAAGGGGGCGUAGGUGGUUUCUUAAGUCAGAGGUAAAAGGCUUGGGCUCAACCGUAGUGAGCCGUUGAAACUGGGGUACUGGAGUGCAGGAGAGGGAAGUGGAAUGCGUGGUGUAGCGGUGAAAUGCGUAGAUAUUAGGCAGAACACCGGUUGCGAAGGCGGCGCUCUGGACUGUAACUGACGCUGAGGCACGAAGGCGUGGGGAGCGAACAGGAUUAGAUACCCCAGUAGUC
rnacentral:rRNA from 1 species